rnacentral:lncRNA from 1 species
GCUGAUUUUGAGUAUCUAAGGUACGGUGCACAGUUACAGUUCUUCUAUUAAAGCACGCAAAACAAACAAUUGAUUAACUUGCUUGCUAUAUUUGUUUGGAUGUUUGUAAACAACAGGUAGGUAGUCUAUUUCAGUCUGUUUACUAUUUACAGGAAUAUAAUUAGACAAUAAACAUUGAAUUCAUUUCAGGUCAAUUCUUAUUGUCCAAUCAAAUACCAGUAGAUAUAAAAAGAGACUCCACCUACCUAUUGUUUGCAAACAACCAAGCAAACAUAGUAAGCAAGUUGGUCAAUGUUUUGUUUUUGGUGCUUUUAAAGGAAGAACUGUAUAGAAAAGUCUAUCUUUACCCUUGGUACUAUGACUGAGGAAAAAAAAUGUUAAGAAUGGCAAUAGUCACAUUGAAUUUUAUCACAUACAUGGUACAUCAUAUUCAGAAAACACCGUUGAGUUCAAGGCAUCUGAAGUACGUGGUAUAGCAGACGCAAUGCCUGCCACUUCUGCUUGAAGUAUGGCCAAGUUGCAGAACCUCUUAGGAUCCCCUCCAAAAACAUUCUACUCAGCAACUCUUAAAGGUUGAAAGAAUGUCAGGUGUUGUACACAGUAGAGUCCAAACGUUUUUCUUUUACUGAAUGUUAAACGCUCAAAUAUAACCACAUAUCAAUAGUUAUAUCCGGGUCAGCAGACGGAGUGAAACUACGACUAAACCUGAUACAUGAGAUACAAGUAGUUACAUAGACAUUUAUCUCAUUUCCUUGCAUUCAUAUGAAAUAUUCAUCAUUGGACAUGAAGUAAACAAUCAAUCAUUCAAAACUCCUGUCUACUACCUUUUCACAUUUAGUAUGUUAUAGUUUAAUUUUGGAUGUAAUGCGUCUUCUGAUUGGCUGACGUAGUUUUGUUUAUCAGCCCAUAGACACAAUCCUGUCAUGUGACCGUGACGUCAUCAACGUUUUUUCAUGAUUUACGCCGAUUUAAAUCAAAUUUAGUAUUAAAUUCUCAAAAAUGUGUUGCACACUGAAUAACCCGUGUAUUAGGUUAUUAUUAAGUGUCCACCACAUUUUUUAUGUUUUUUUGAAUAGACAGAAAAAAUAUUACAGUCAUUCCUUAAAUAAUAGUUUUUGAAUGAGGUUAAUAAGGUAUAUCAUUGUCUUUUAAAAUUCAACCAAAUCAACCACCAAAUACUUUUCAAAAAUUAAUUUAACCAAAAGUUGCCUCAUACAAGUCAGUAAUUGUGUUAUUGUGUUAUUAUUCUGAGAACUAAAAAUUUGUAAGGGUUCCGCGGAACCCAGUGUCUCGCCUACUUUUGCUGUUAAUCACACACUCAUCAAAAAUGAUGAAAAACAUCAAUAAAAUUAUUCCUCUCGAUACAUCUUUUGAUUGUCAGAAGCUUCUGUCCAAGUUUGGUAAAAAUCCAGGCUAGUUUAAGAAUCUUAAAAAUGUUUUAAAUACUUUAACUGUAGACUGUAUGUAAUGUUAACUGGAAGAAAAACUAAGUCCAUUUAUAAGUAAAAUACGGGAAAAAUGGAAUUUUAUUUUUACAAAAUUUACUUCUGGAUACUAUCUUCUGAUCAUAAACAAACUUCUGGCCAAGUUUCUUACAAUUUCAGGAUAGUUUAAGAAAGUUAUUAAAAUUUUAAAAACUUUUAACCAGAGUGAAUGAAUGUUCCUGGCAGAAAAACUAGUCCAUUUAUAAGUAAAAUACAGAAAAAUGGAAUUUUAUUUUUACAAAAUUUACCUCUGGAUACUAUCUCCUGAUCAUAAACAAGCUUCUGGCCAAGUUUUGUACAUUUCCAGGAUAGUUUAAGAAAGUUAUUAAAAUUUUAAAAACUUUAACCACAGAGUGAAUGUAAUGUUUCCUGGCAGAAAAAACUAAGUCCAUUUAUAAGUAAAAUACAGAAAAAAUGGAAUUUUAUUUUUACAAAAAUCUAUAAUAUCUUAUGAACAUAAACAAGCUUCUGUCCAAGUUUCGUAUAAUUCAAGGAUAGUUUAAGAAAGUUAUUAAAAUUUCAAAAACUUUAACCACAGAGUGAAUAUUUGUGGACCCCGCCGCCGACGACGACGACGCCGACGCAAUGUAGGAUCGCUAUGUCUCGCUUUUUCGACUAAAGUCAAAGGCUCGACAAAAAUGUUUUGAUGACAAUUAUUUUUUUCCAAAAUCAAUUGUUUCUCAAAUAUACAUGCUGACCAAUGUAUAAAUCCUAUUGUGUUAAACAUUUUCUAAUUAACUGUUUCUCUCUGUUCAUUUAAGUAUUGUUAAAUUUUUAUGACAAUUAAAAAACAAUCAAGAACAUGAAUUUGAAAACAACUGGAGUCCAAUAAACACAAAUCCAAACACUAUUUUGCUGUUUAGUGUUGCAUAUCAAUAAAGGAACAGCUGAUCAUACUUAUUAUCAGUGGUUAAAUGAACACAUAAAUCAUCAUAGAGCAUCUAACAUUAAAUUAAUUUUGUAUCAUUUAAAUACAUUGAAAAAUGAAAUGUCAAAAAUCCAAAACAAUAAGUAAAUAUUUCAAAACUAGUGUGUAAUUAGGUGAUGUGAGGAUGGAGAAAUUAUUGCUUAGCAGCUAAGAACUUUUUGCAUUUUCUGGGCAUGAAUUGUCCUUUCUGAACAUGAUAUAUCUGUACAGGUGGAUAUUUAUUACUAGUGUCUAUGUGCAACUUAUAUUCAUAAACAGAUCGGUCAAGAUUAAACCAAAGAACCAUUUGGAACCAAAUUUUGAAACGUGUGGGCAAAGGUCAUUCAGUCUAACAUAGGUUGUCUUUGAACUAUUCAACUAUCUGCAUCCAUUUUUCAGUGGUGUAGUUUUAAACUGAAAAAUGAGGAGGAACAUACAUAAUCCUUAGUCAGUGUCAUAUUUUAAUUCAGUGUUUUAUCAAUGAGAGGGUGACAAAACAAAAAUUGUCCACUUGCACACUCUCCCACAUCUACACAUCUGCUAAAGAUGGGGAAAAUUGGAAAGACUGCCAGGUAUGGAGUUUGUCUGAAAGACAUUUACCAAUUAUACAGCUUAAGAAAAUUUGUGACAUGAAUUCAGAAUUAAAACUAUUGAAGCUACUAUAUCACAAGAACAUGUCUUGACAACACAUGAAAAAAUAAUCCACCCCACCUCUUAUCUAAUCAAAGGCACUGAUUAUACAGCUUACCAAGGCUCUGGAACCUCUAAUUAUAUAAAAAAUUAUAUUGAAUUUGGAUUGUGAUUAAAUAGUUGACACAGCAAAGGUUUCUGACACAGAGGGAAUGUGGUCUAAAAAAAAGUAAUGAACAAAAAAUUUUUUUUUUUGCUGUUGUGCAAUACACUAUGCUGUUGAAUAUAAAUCCCCACAAAAAAAUCUUUUUAAUAUCUGAAAUCUGAAAUGAGAAAAAAAAAAUUUCACCUCCCCUAAUCCCUUAUUCAAAAAAUAAUCUCAAUUCAAAUUUCUAAUUAAUUUGGCAACAAUAACUACUCAUUUAAAUACAUCAUGAAGUAUUAAAAUAUAAAAUAACCUAGUCAUGGUUAAAAUUAAUAUAAAUUAACAGUAACUUCUAAAAAUAAAUUUACAGCUACACAUCUCAAGACAAUUAUCACUUCCUUUAACAUAACUUUCAAGCAGUGUAAUGGGGGGUAAACAAGUAAUCAUAUAUAUAUAUAUAUAUAUAUAUAUAACAGUAUUCUUUAAAUUUUAAUUGGAAUUGGAUUACCUCCCUUACACUGCUUUUAAAUUGUCUAAAUUGACCUUUAACCAGAAAAACCCUUGUUCCCCCCCUUUUUUUGCCCCUAAUUGCUUACUGAUUUAAUCCAUUCGCCCUGUAACCAUCCGUCUGUAGUAUGGAACUUUGUGGUAUAAUUUCAGAGAGAUUUAUCCACUUAAACACAAGUUAUUGACUGAAAACUACAAAAAUGCUUAUUUGGGCCCCCUUUUUGGCCCCUCACUUAUUGAAACCCCCCUUGGAGCAAAAAACCCAAAACUCAAUUCCAGCCUUUCCUUUGUAGUAACAAUCCUUGCAGUAUUAUUUCAGAGAGAUCCAUACACUUAAACACAAGUUAUUGUCUGUAAACUAGAAAAAUGCUUCUUUCUGGCCCUUUUUUGGCCCCUUAUUCCUAAAUGUUCAGGAAUAUUAACCACAAACUGACACCAAGCCUUCCCUUCAUUAUAUGGAACCUUGUGGUACAAUGUCAGAGAGAUCUAUACAGUUAAACAUAAGUUAUUGUCCCAAAACUUCAAAAAUGCUUGUUUUUGGCCCCUUUUUGGCCCUUCAUUCCUAGACAGUUUGUCCCAUAACCCUUCAAAUAAAUCCCAACCUUCUACUUAAUGGUAUGAACUUCAGAGUAAUUGAAAUACGUAUACACAACUUAUUGUCCUGAAACUAGAUAAUGUAUGUUUUGGGCCCUUUGGGCCCCUUAUUCCUAAAUCUAUGGGACCAUAACCCCCAAUAUUAAUCCCAACCUUCCUUUUGUGGUUAUAAACAUUGUGUUAAAAUUCUAUUGAUUUCUAUUCACUUAUACUAAAGUUAUUAUCCGGAAACCAUCCGUCUUCAGACGACGCUGAUGACGACGACAACAACGACGUGAUACCAAUAUACGACCGCAUAUAUUUUUGCGCUCAUAUAAAAAAGUUAUCUAUAUAUUAUUCAUGAUGUUUAAAAAGACAGCAGGCAACUGUCAUUUCAGAAAUUCAGACAGUAAAGUAAAUGAAAUUAAACAGCUGUCAAAAUUGAUUUGGUAUCCUUAAUUUAUAAUUGCACAAGUCAUGAAAACAUGGAAACAAAUGCAUUGUUUAAUUCUAUAAUGUACAAAAUAUCACCACAAUAUUCUCUACAAUCAUUGAAAAACAGAGCACAAGAAUAUUAUUUUCAAAAAUAGUUAGGGAAGGUCAUAAGGUCAACAGUAGGUCAAACAAAACAAAGCUCAUUCAUGUGUAUUGGUUAUUGUAUACUAGUACAUGUACUAUUUUAUACUAAUUAUCAACCCCAUAUACACAUGGUUAGUAAAAAUUUAGUACUUUUAGAAAUUAUCUUUAUCAAUUAUUUUUAAGCCAAAUGUUCUUAAUAAGGACAAACAUGUAUCAACCAGAACAAAAAUAUAUAUGAUACUGUACUAUUCAUUUUAGAAGACUGGCAAUGAAGGUGUGAUCUUUUUUUUGUUCAUGACAUCAUCAAAGACCUAGGCCUGGAGUAGGGCUGUGUUGAAGUGGACCAAUGAACAGAAAUUGUGAAGUUUGUUCCUACUUUUUUCUUAUUAUAGAUGAAAAAGACAAGAUAAGAUAUACAUUGAAUAAUAGAUGCAAUGUGAUGGCGAUUAAUAAAACUAACUCUCAUAGUCAAGUCUGCUUAUAAAAUAUCAAAAAUAAGCAAUCUUUUC